rnacentral:rRNA from 1 species
UAUCCAGACUCCUACGGGAGGCAGCAGUGGGGGAUAUUGCACAAUGGGGGAAACCCUGAUGCAGCGACGCCGCGUGUGGGAAGACGGUCCUCUGGAUUGUAAACCACUGUCCCCAGGGACGAAGAUGACGGUACCUGGGGAGGAAGCUCCGGCUAACUACGUGCCAGCAGCCGCGGUAAUACGUAGGGGGCAAGCGUUAUCCGGAUUUACUGGGUGUAAAGGGAGCGUAGGCGGUUAGAUAAGUCUGAUGUGAAAGCCCGCAGCUUAACUGUGGGAUUGCAUUGGAAACUAUAGAACUAGAGUGUCGGAGAGGUAAGUGGAAUUCCUAGUGUAGCGGUGAAAUGCGUAGAUAUUAGGAGGAACACCAGUGGCGAAGGCGGCUUACUGGACGAUGACUGACGCUGAGGCUCGAAAGCGUGGGGAGCAAACAGGAUUAGAUACCCGGGUA